rnacentral:rRNA from 1 species
UACAGAGGUCUCAAGCGUUGUUCGGAUUCAUUGGGCGUAAAGGGUGCGUAGGUGGCGCGCUAAGUCAGGUGUGAAAUUUCGGAGCUUAACUCCGAAACUGCAUUUGAUACUGGCGUGCUUGAGGACUGGAGAGGAGACUGGAAUUCAUGGUGUAGCAGUGAAAUGCGUAGAGAUCAUGAGGAAGACCAGUGGCGAAGGCCGGUCUCUGGACAGUUCCUGACACUGAGGCACGAAGGCCAGGGGAGCAAACGGG